rnacentral:misc_RNA from 1 species
GAUGAAGAACGCAGCGAAAUGCGAUAAGUAAUGUGAAUUGCAGAAUUCAGUGAAUCAUCGAAUCUUUGAACGCACCUUGCGCCCUUUGGCCAUUCCGAAGGGCAUGCCUGUUUGAGUAUCAUGAACACCUCAACUCUUUAUGGUUUUCCAUGAUGAGCUUGGACUCUGGGGGUUUUGCUGGCUCACAGUCGGCUCCUCUAAAAUAAAUCAGCUUACCAGUGUUUGGUGGGUAUCAUGGGUGUGAUAACUAUCUACGCUUGUGGCUUUUCCACCAGGUAACCUUCAGCAGUGGAGGUUCGCUGGAGCUCAUAGACGUCUCUCCUCAGUGAGGACAGCCCUUUGAAUGUUUGAUCUCAAAUCAGGUAGGACUACCCGCUGAACUUAAGCAUAUCAAUAAGCGGAGGA